AGAGUUUGAUCCUGGCUCAGAACGAACGCUGGCGGCGCGCCUAAUACAUGCAAGUCGAACGAGAAUGUGUAGCAAUACACAUGUACAGUGGCGAACGGGUGAGGACUACAUGGGUAACCUACCCUCGAGUGGGGAAUAACUAGCCGAAAGGUUAGCUAAUACCGCGUACGCUUCCCGGACUGCGGUUUGGGAAGGAAAGCGAUACCGUGGGUAUCGCGCUCUUGGAUGGGCUCAUGCCCUAUCAGCUUGUUGGUGAGGUAACGGCUCACCAAGGCUUCGACGGGUAGCUGAUCUGAGAGGAUGAUCAGCCACACUGGCACUGCGACACGGGCCAGACUCCUACGGGAGGCAGCAGUAAGGAAUAUUGCGCAAUGGGCGAAAGCCUGACGCAGCGACGCCGCGUGGGGGAUGAAGGUCUUCGGAUUGUAAACCCCUUUCGGGAGGGAAGAUGGGAUGGGGUAACCCAUUCGGACGUACCUCCAGAAGCAGCACCU
rnacentral:rRNA from 1 species